rnacentral:rRNA from 1 species
GAUGAACGCUAGCUACAGGCUUAACACAUGCAAGUCGCGGGGCAGCAUGGGGGUUGCUUGCAAUCCCCGAUGGCGACCGGCGCACGGGUGAGUAACGCGUAUCCAACCUGCCCUUCACCACGGGAUAACCCGGCGAAAGUCGGACUAAUACCGUAUGUUGUCCAUUGACGGCAUCCGAUUUGGACGAAAGGCUUGGCGGUGAGGGAUGGGGAUGCGUCCGAUUAGCCAGACGGCGGGGUAACGGCCCACCGUGGCUACGAUCGGUAGGGGUUCUGAGAGGAAGGUCCCCCACACUGGAACUGAGACACGGUCCAGACUCCUACGGGAGGCAGCAGUGAGGAAUAUUGGUCAAUGGGCGUAAGCCUGAACCAGCCAAGUAGCGUGCAGGAUGACGGCCCUAUGGGUUGUAAACUGCUUUUAUGCGGGGAUAAAGUGGCCCACGUGUGGGCUUUUGCAGGUACCGCAUGAAUAAGGGCCGGCUAAUUCCGUG